AUUGAACGCUGGCGGCAGGCCUAACACAUGCAAGUCGAACGAGUGGCGGACGGGUGAGUAAUGUCUGGGAAACUGCCUGAUGGAGGGGGAUAACUACUGGAAACGGUAGCUAAUACCGCAUACCAUCGGAUGUGCCCAGAUGGGAUUAGCGAGUAGGUGGGGUAACGGCUCACCUAGGCGACGAUCCCUAGCUGGACUGAGAGGAUGACCAGCAACACGGGAACUGAGACACGGUCCAGACUCCUACGGAGGGCAGCAGUGGGGAAUAUGGCACAAUGGGCGCAAGCCUGAUGCAGCCAUGCCGCGUGUAUUGAGAAGGCCUUCGGGUUGUAAAGGACUUUCAGCGGGGAGGCGUUACCCGCAGAAGAAGCACCGGCUAACUCCGUGCCAGCAGCCGCGGUAAUUG
rnacentral:rRNA from 1 species